ACACUCAGGCCUGUGACCACAGAAAAAGUAGCCAGCCCACCAUCCCUAGAUGAUUUUGCAGUCUUUGCACACCAGUGUGGCCAUAGGCUUGUUUUCUCCUGGACUGAGCCUGCAGAUCCUAUGAGCAAGCAUAUGUCCUGUGCUCCACUAGUCCUAGCUGGAUCGUGGACAUAUUACCAUCAUUACAAAUAUCAAUAGUUUGUGAUUACUUCAAACAAUCUGAAGUUGAAGGACCCCAGAUAUCCUUCAAAACAGGAAUCUGCAGGCAGAUGCUGAAACCAUGAAUACAGAGGGACAACUAUACGCUGACAUAGUUUUAUGAAUGCAAACAGCCAAGGAGAGCAGAUGUUGAGUGGUUGCCAGAGUGAAAUGAGGAAGCCCUGCUGCCAGCUUCCCACCAAAAAGCAGGCUCCGGCCCUGAACGCAGGAGAGUUGCUAAAGAAGUUGCUCACAGAGGCGGGAGAGAGCAGGCUACUGGUUUCCUUCAAAAUGGAAUAGGAAACAGAAAACGUGACUACUAUCACACCAAAAAAAGAGGCUUCACUUGGAGUGCUGCCACUGGAUGGGGCCUGACUUGUUUAUCCGGAAAGAAGUGACUUCCCUGGGAAGAAGGUUGCAUUUGUGAAAGCUUGUGCAGCAUUUCAAGGCUGCAUUCAGGGGCUCUGACCUCCAGUGUCAGCCUUCCAAGGAGAGAAUGGUAGUGUAAUCAUGACUGGAGAGCAACUGUUCCAGAUAAGAAUAUUUUGGCAGAUUUUAAAAGCAACUAUUACUGGUGUUGAUUGACUUAAAAAUAUUUUAAAAAUAUAACAUGUUAUAAACCUCUUCAAUAUCAAGAGGCAGGAUAUAA
ensembl:lncRNA LINC01491 long intergenic non-protein coding RNA 1491